AUGUCCUGCCAGCAGAACCAGCAGCAGUGUCAGCCCCCUGCAAGUGCCCUUCCAAGUGUACUCUGAAAUGCCCCCCAAACUGUCCAUCCCAGUGCACAGCACUAUGCCCAGUCUCUUCCUGCUGCAGCUCUAGCUCUGGGGGCUGCCGUGGCUCCAGCUCUGGGGGCUGCUGCAGCUCAGGAGGUGGUGGCUGCUGCCUGAGCACUACAGGUGCCACAGGUCCCACUGCCACAGACCCCAGAGCUCCAGCUGCUGUGAAUGUGAGCCUUCACAGGGCUCCAGCUGCUGCCACAGCUCUGGGAGCUGCUGCUGCCUUGGGUCCUGA
rnacentral:lncRNA from 1 species